GGUUCCAUAGUGUAAUGGUUAGCACUCCAGAUUCUGAAUCUGUCGAUCCAAGUUCAACUCUCGGUGGAACCU
rnacentral:tRNA from 1 species